GACGAACGCUGGCGGCGUGCUUAACACAUGCAAGUCGAACGGUGAACCAGAGCUUGCUCUGGGGAUCAGUGGCGAACGGGUGAGUAACACGUGGGCAACCUGCCCAGACUCUGGGAUAACCUCGGGAAACCGAUGCUAAUACCGGAUACGACCACUUCGGACAUCCGACGGUGGUGGAAAGUUUUCGGUCUGGGAUGGGCCCGCGGCCUAUCAGCUAGUUGGUGGGGUAAUGGCCUACCAAGGCGACGACGGGUAGCCGGCCUGAGAGGGCGACCGGCCACACUGGAACUGAGACACGGUCCAGACUCCUACGGGAGGCAGCAGUGGGGAAUAUUGCACAAUGGGCGAAAGCCUGAUGCAGCGACGCCGCGUGAGGGACGACGGCCUUCGGGUUGUAAACCUCUUCUAGCAGGGACGAAGCGAAAGUGACUGUACCUGCAGAAGAAGACACCGGCUAACUACGUGCCAGCAG
rnacentral:rRNA from 1 species